CCCUUAGAUGUUCUGGGCCGCACGCGCGCUACACUGAUGCGUUCAACAAGUUUCCUUGGCCGAGAGGCCUGGGCAAUCUUCUUAAUAUGUAUCGUGAUAGGGAUAGAUUAUUGCAAUUAUUAAUCUUGAACGAGGAAUUCCUAGUAAACGCAGAUCAUCAAUCUGCAUUGAUUACGUCCCUGCCCUUUGUACACACCGCCCGUCGCACCUACCGAUUGGAUGUUCCGGUGAAGCCUCGGGAUGAGGACUGGUGCCUUUAUUGGCAUGAGUUGUUCAGAACUUGUCUAAACCUUAUCAUCUAGAGGAGGGUGAAGUCGUAACA
rnacentral:rRNA from 1 species